UAGUGCCAGAAMCGGCAGACUCUACGGGAGGCAGCAGUAGGGAAUCUUCCGCAAUGGACGAAAGUCUGACSGAGCAACGCCGCGUGAGUGAUGAAGGUUUUCGGAUCGUAAAGCUCUGUUGUUAGGGAAGAACAAGUACCGUUCGAAUAGGGCGGUACCUUGACGGUACCUAACCAGAAAGCCACGGCUAACUACGUGCCAGCAGCCGCGGUAAUACGUAGGUGGCAAGCGUUGUCCGGAAUUAUUGGGCGUAAAGGGCUCGCAGGCGGUUUCUUAAGUCUGAUGUGAAAGCCCCCGGCUCAACCGGGGAGGGUCAUUGGAAACUGGGGAACUUGAGUGCAGAAGAGGAGAGUGGAAUUCCACGUGUAGCGGUGAAAUGCGUAGAGAUGUGGAGGAACACCAGUGGCGAAGGCGACUCUCUGGUCUGUAACUGACGCUGAGGAGCGAAAGCGUGGGGAGCGAACAGGAUUAGAUACCCUGGUAGUCCACGCCGUAAACGAUGAGUGCUAAGUGUUAGGGGGUUUCCGCCCCUUAGUGCUGCAGCUAACGCAUUAAGCACUCCGCCUGGGGAGUACGGUCGCAAGACUGAAACUCAAAGGAAUUGASGGGGGCCCGCACAAGCGGUGGAGCAUGUGGUUUAAUUCGAAGCAACGCGAAGAACCUUACCAGGUCUUGACAUCCUCUGACAAUCCUAGAGAUAGGACGUCCCCUUCGGGGGCAGAGUGACAGGUGGUGCAUGGUUGUCGUCAGCUCGUGUCGUGAGAUGUUGGGRUUAAGUCCCGCAACGAGCGCAACCCUUGAUCUUAGUUGCCAGCAUUCAGUUGGGCACUCURAGGUGACUGCCGGUGACAAACCGGAGGGAAGGUGGGGAUGACGGUCWAAUCAUCAYGCCCCUUAUGAACCUGGGCUACACMCCGU
rnacentral:rRNA from 1 species